UAAAAGGUCAAGCAGGCUCCAAGAUUUGAUUUGACACCUGUAUUCUAUAUUAUUUUUUCCCCAGUCCUGCUGUAUACACAAUAACCUGCAGCCCUAUGUCUCCCUGCAGAGUACAAGCUUGUGUCGCAGAGACCAUCAUCUGAAUCACAGCGACAAAGAAUGGGCAGAUCCUGGUGUUUUCAGUGAUAGAACACGGAGAGGUCUCCAAAUGAAUAGUCCUUCUUCGGUGCUGAGGAGCACAAAUCCCAUCAAUUGGAGGGCUGUUAAUGGCAGAGCUUGGGCCAUGGUGGGGUAAGGCUGAAAUUGGCCAAAAUCCAGCCCAGCGACGGAAGAAAAAACGGCAACAACUUGGUGGGAGGAAUUGGUUGGACUGUUUUCCGCCUGCAGCAUACACCCUUGCCCUCACUGCACAAGACAGAGAUUGGACAGUAAGCAUUGAAACGCUGAAAAGGUAUAAAACUAGUAUUUGCUGAUUAUUCCCGAGUGCCGCUGCCUAGAGUUUAUAUAAAUAAAUAUAUAUAUAUAUAUAUAUAUAUAUAUAUAUACAUCAAACAACGUCCCGGCACUCAGGUGGACCAUGUAGUUACUUGCUGGGGUGCCCUCCUGGUGACUGCAUGUCACUCUAUAUACAGCAGCUGUUUGGCCCUGAGGACAGGGUUCAUCCCCGAAACAUGUCGGCUUGAAUGGUUAACACUGCAUUAAGUAUCCUGUCCAAGUCUGAUGGCUGAUGAGUGCCGCCGCCAUCCACCGUAUAUAAAUAUAUAUAUAUAUUAUAUCUGUUUGCAGCCUUGACGGCCCCAACUGUUUACUUGCCCUUUUUACGUCAAUAAAAUACAGAUUGUACUAUAAAUAAAUAAAUAAAUAUAUAUAUAU